UGUAUCAUACAUAUGAGUUCCAUAUACAAUGACAUAUGUGACCAAUUUAGUGUGCGUGAUAUCUAUUUUUGGAAAGCAAUACAUUACUAGGUAUCCAGUAAUAUUCUCAUUCAUUGUGUGAAGUCGAUGCAUGUUGUAUUCAAAUUCCUCCAAUGUGUAAGCGCGGACAGCCGAGUUGAAAGCUUGUGUAAUAUUUUCUCCUGAUUUUCCAUAAUAAUGUUUCAGGUUCUGUAGCAAAUGAUACGAGCAAAUACCAUGACAGGCUCCUGGAUACACAUGUUCUAUUGCUUUCUUUAUACUGCCAUGACGGUCUGAUACAAAACAUAGUCCUUCUCUAUAUCCAUAAGCCUCUUUCAGUUUUUCCAAAAACCAUCUCCAAGAGUUAUCGUUCUCAUUAUCCCCAACACCAAAAGUAAGAACAAAUAUGCUAUUGUUUGCGUCCUGUGUACAUGCUGUGAAGAGUGUGCCCACGUAAUGACCAGUUAAGUAUGUACCGUCGACUACAAUUACAGGCCUACAAUGUGGCCACCCACGUAUUGAAGCACCGAGUGCCAUAAAACAAUACUUGAACCUGUUGUGACUAUCAAUCUCUAGAUAUGUGACCGUACCUGGAUUCUUUUGUUGGAGCAUGUAGAAGAAACUUGGUGUCCUACUGAAUGAUUUGGUUGGAUCACCCCUAAUCAUCUUCAAGGUUUGUUCACGGCAUCUCCAAGCUUUCGUGUAGUUCAAAUAAACUCCAAAAGUAUGCAACAUUUCAUUGCAUAUAUCCUUUGGUGUGUAUAUGGUGCUGGACGAUGUGUACUUAUACUUGAUUCUAGAUGAAACAACUACAGUUGUGACUUGUCUAUGUGACCCCAACACUACAUUUGAUGCACAUGUGUGACUACCAAUCUUUCGAAUCUUAAAUAGAUCCGUUUUAUCCCAUUUCGAUGAUCAGCAUAUCCAACUACAUCCUUCCUGUGAACACCUCACAACAUAUUCUUUCUUAUCUGACCGCUCAACCAUGAACUCAAACAUAUUCCUUAUGGCAAACAAGGAUAGGCUCAAUUUUAAAAUCUCCUUAUCACGGAAAACCCUUUCUUCUUCGACCUCUCCAGCUUCUGCUACUGAAACAACUGUGACCUCGUUGUCGUAAAUGUGACCUACAUGUUCACUCGAUGCUUUGCAUAUUUCAGCUGCCAUAUCCUGCAAUGUAUGAACCUCGCUGCUAUGGGAAGCAGUAUAUGGAGCCGUGUUAGAUGGCUUCUCUAUUGCUGCAUCGGUAACAUCGAUGACUAAUGGGUAUUUAGCAGGUUCGCGAUCGCCUUCCUUCAGCAGAAUGUACGAGAGGACGUUACCGUCAUUUUUUAUCCUGACUGGAGGCAAAUUGUCAUUCAGGACAUACUUCAGUGACACUGCCACCUUCGUAGGAUCCAAGCUGAACUCUGACAUGAUUGUGUCAACAAGGUUUACGUAUCCGCAACCACGGUCUACCAAUGCCAACGCUGACUGAGAUCCAUAUAGCAAACAUACGUGCACGUACACCAUUCCUACAAAAAUUGAAUUUCAUGUAGCUGAUUUAUUGUGAUACAAUGCAUACAGUUCAAACAUGAAUGACUGUAAUGACAUGGAGGUCACAUUUGUGAACAAGUCAUAUAUGAGACUAAAGAUGUAAUAAAAUGGAGGUCACAUAUGUUGGAUGGCAACCACUGUUUCAUGUGGUUACAUUCCU
rnacentral:lncRNA from 1 species